rnacentral:lncRNA from 1 species
GAAGAUUCGGGUUGGAAAUAUGGCUAUAACCUGAAUCCUUUAAUUAUGUUUAUGCAAGUUGUAACCAUGUAUGGACUAUGGAUAUGGAUUUAUGAACAUUGAUUUUUUAGUUUUUUAAUUUUAAGUAUCUAAAAUAUGAGGUUUAAGUUUGAUAUCACACCUAAACCCCAUUUGAACCAUUUUAGAGAGAGAAACCUCAAGGAAAUUGGUAUUUUGGUGAUUUCCAUUGAAUCGAAGGGUUUCUCAAACUUCUGAGAAAUCGAUCCAAACAUCACCUUUUGAGUUUAGAUUUAGUUUUAGAGAUUUUUUAGGACUAUUAGAGGGUUUUUUUAGAAGAUUUUGAGAUAGGAAAACAUCAAAGGUGGGUAGUUUGAAGAUCGAGCUACCAAGGUUAGUGAAAAUUUUUUUUUUUUAGAUUGCGUGGAUUAUUUUAAGAUAUCUUCUUCGAGAUCCAAUAUAAGUGAAUAUUCGGGUUGGAAAUAUGGCUAUAACCUGAAUCCUUAGUUUGUAUAUGUAAAUUGUAACUAUGUAUGGACUAUGGAUAUGGAUUUAUGGAGUAUGGAGGAGUGUAUGUGGAGCUGUGAACUAUGGACGUUUUAUAUGUUCUAUGUGUCACUUAUUUCUUCUUUUCUUGAUGAUGAAUUAAUGUCAUCUGUCUUGGAUUACAUUUUCCUAUUUUUACUGUGUAUGGACUAUGGAGUGCAUGGAGUUUGGAUUGUGGUAUGGACUAUGGAGUAUGGUCUAAUACUCCAAUGUCUAAUGGUUUAAAGUUUGAACUUUGAUUUUUGAAUACAAAAUGUAUGGAAUUAUGGACUAAUGGACUACAGAUGUACAUUGAUAUUUUUUUAAAAAUCUUAACUGUCUAAAACAUGAGGUUUAGUUUGAUAUCACACCCAAACCCAUUUGAUCCAUUUUAGAGAGAGAGAAAUCUCAAUAAAAUUGGUAUUUUGUGAUUUCCAUUGAAUCCAAGGAUUUCUCAAAGUUUCGAGAAAUUGCUCCAAACAUAAUCCUUUGAGUUUAUAUUUAGUUUUGGAGAUUGUUUAGGACUUAUUAGAGGGUUUUGUAGAAGAUUUUGAGAUUAGACAACAUCUCAAAAGUGGUAGUUUGAAGAUCAAGCAAUCAAGGUUACUGAAAAUUUUUGUUGUUUAGAUUGUGUGGAUUAUUUUAAGAUGUCUUAUUCGAGAUACAAUAGAAGUGGUGGUUUGGGUUGGAAAGGUGGCUAUAACCAGAAUCCUUUAGUUAUGUGCGUGUAAGUUGUAACUAAGUAUGGACUAUGGAUAUGGACUUCUUGAGUAUGGAGGAGUGCAUGUGGAGUUGUGGACUAUGAACAUUUGAUAUGUCCUAUGUGUUAUAUAUUUCCUUUUCUUGAUGAUGAAUCGAUGUCUUCUGUCUUGGAUUAUAUUUUCCUAUUUUUACUGUGUAUGAACUAUGGACUACAUAUAGUUUUGAUUAUGGUAUGGACUAUGGAGUGUGGUCUAAUACUCUAAUGUCUAAUGAUUUGAAGUUUGAAGUUUGAACUUUGAACUUUGAUUUUUGAAUGCGAAAGGCAUGGAAUUAUAGACUAAUGGACUAUGGAUGAACUUUGAUUUAUUUUUUUCCGUUUUAAGUAUUUAAAACAUGAGGUUUAGGUUCAUUUCAAACCUAAACCCCAUUUGUAAAAGCUAAAAAAAAUUGAUAUUUUGUUAUUUCCAUAUAAAGGUGGAAAUCUGAAGAUCGAGCAAUUAAGGUUAGCGAAAACUUUUAUUUUUUAUAUUACAUGGAUUAUUUGAAGAUGUCUUCUUUGAGAUCUAAUAGAAGUGGUGAUUCCAAUUGGAAAGUUGGAUAUAACCCGAGCCCUUUAGUUAUGUGUAUGUACGUUGUACCUAUGUAUGGAUACUAGAUAUGGACUUAUGGAACAUUUGAUAUGUCCUAUGCGUUAUUUAUUUCCUUUUCUUGAUGAUGAAUCUAUGUCUUUCGCCUUGGGUUAUAUUUUCCUAUUUUUACUAUGUAUGGAUUAUGGUGUGCAA